rfam:Triticum aestivum genome assembly, contig: Triticum_aestivum_CS42_TGACv1_scaffold_272534_3DS
AUAGUACUCCCUCCGUCCCAAAAUUCUUGUCUUAGAUUUGUCUAGACUAGAUAUGGAUGUACCUAAUACUAAAACAUGACUUGAUACAUCCGUAUUUAGACAAAUUUAAGAUAAGAAUUUUAGGAUGGAAGGAGCAUAUA